UACGGAGGGUGCAAGCGUUGCUCGGAAUUAUUGGGCGUAAAGGGUAGGUAGGUGGUCUUAUUUGUCUGGGGUGAAAGCCUUGAGCUUAACUCAAGAAGUGCCCCAGAAACGGUAAGACUAGAGUCCUGGAGAGGGUCGUGGAAUUCCCGGUGUAGCGGUGAAAUGCGUAGAGAUCGGAAGGAACGUCGAUGGCGAAGGCAGCCACCUGGCAUAAUACUGACGCUGAGGCGCGAAAGCGUGGGGAGCGAACAGG
rnacentral:rRNA from 1 species